GAUAAUGAAUGUUUGGAAUCUAAAGAGGCCGCUGUUAUAAAUGAUAUUUCCAAAUCUCUCACAACAUUCCUUCUCCUUUUCAAUAUAAAGAAUUUGCAUCCAAUAAUCAUUUGUAUUGCAGUAGGUUAUCAAAAGGAAGCUUAAUGUUUGAAUUUUGUUUAUAUCCAGGUUGAUGUUAAUUGCAGGUGAAUAUUGAUAUCGUUAAUUACAGUUAGAGAUUCUAUAUUCUACCUUUUUUACCAUGUAAUGCUGCAUCUUCAUAUUGUCAUGUUCAUACAAUAUAUUUUAAGUAUUUGGUUUAAAAUUUUUUGUUAAUUUCAUAACCAUUAUUAUACGCAUUAUUGUUUUGAUGAACUGAAUAAAGAAAAGCUUUCUUGAUUUAUUGUGUUAUGGUAACUAAUCCAUGUUACCCUUUAAGUUAG